UGAUUAUCUCCUUUUUACAGACUUUAUAAAAUCCCAUUUGGAACUCCUCAUAAAUUUUCUUCACAGAGGUGUUAAAGAUGUAAUCAAUACAUCUGGAAACAAAAUCUUCCCUUUAUGGAAGCCAGAAGGAAGGUCUUGUCAAAGUUGAAAAGGGAUCAUGUAAGAACAGAGAAAAUGAUCUAAGAGAAAUUCUUUCCUGAGAGAACUAUAUUAACUCAUCUUGGGAAGAAACUUCAUUAAGAGAACGGUGGAGAAGUCAGAAAGAAAUAGCAUCAUCGAUGGUUAGGGAUGACUCUAGUGAUGAUCCUUCUCACAGAUGAUCCAUUUUAGAUAAAUCACCAAGAAAAAAGUAAAAAAAAAGUGGAAAAUGGGGCACUGAAUACAAUGAGAAAAAGAUACUUGUUUAUGAUAUGAGUUUAAACAUGAGAGCAGAGUAUGAUCACCUUGUUCGAUCUUAAAUGGUGACAACUUUUUUGAAGCUCAUUCCAUGUCCAUGAUGACUGCAAAAGUGCUAGAUUCUACCAUUAGGCAAGAAGGUCAGUUAUGAAAAGAAAGAAUCCAGGAGACAAGCAAAGAUGGUAGAAUAGGAGAGAGCAGGACUGCCUGGUUUUCUCCAUCACUACCAUGAAGACCUAGAAAAGGCACCAGGUUGAGUCAGGAUCAGGAAAUCCAAGGAAAAAGCACAAUGGGAUUUUUUUUUCCAGACCAAGUCACUAGAGGGAUGUUGACAGAGAUCUGAGAACACUGUGGGGUCCAGUGCACCUAUGGUUGUCAACUUGGAAUAGGGGCAGUGAUGGAUGCCAGAAGUAGGGAGUUCCUAUACUCAAGGCAGUUACAUUCUGAUGGGGAAGACUACACAAAGAAGAAAACUGAGAAAACGUGUCUCUGCUGUUGCAGAGUAAAGUAAGCACAAUAAGAAAAUAAUUUAUAAAAUAACAGGAGCAGUGUAAAUAUGAACAAUUUUGAAAGAAUCAACAACUUGGAUCAGCCCAAUGCCUAACCAUAAUGCCAGAGAAUCAAUUCUGAACGUACGCUUCUCUUUUCAGAGAGGUAAUGUACCCAAGCUGCAUGGGCAAUGCAGGAAUUGUAGAUACCCAGCGACUGAAGAUAAUGUGAGGCAAUUGAGGGGUUUAGGACAACAAGGGGUGAAUUAUGGGAAUUGAGUGAGCCACACUGACUCUAUCUUGUGACUCAGUCCUGGAGUCAAUUAUUCAAUUAUGGACCUCAUCUAAAUUCUGUCUUGUGAGAAAGUGUAUUCAAUUGUGGGACUUAGAAGAAAAUCUUAAUGCUUUGUUUGAACUUGGUCCUGUGUGUUUGGGAAACUUGACUACCUGUACCUACUAUUUAGAGACCUAGUUUAUGUUGACUAGAUACAAUCAGAUUUGAAGAUUUAUAGGAGGAGUUUUCUCAUCAUUGGACAUCUCAAACGACCCAUAUGUCUUAUCUGAAAACUGGCUCCAUGCUGGUCAAUCAGUUAUUGUUUCCAUGCUCCUCUGAUUGUUUACAGAUUCUUGGAGAAGAGUGAGACACCUCCUUUUCUGAAUUCAGGGAAUUGCACCCACCUAUUCUUCUUCAAACUUGGAAUGCCCCUAAUUUCUGGAUUUGUGGCUAAACAAAGUAUUACAUGAAUAUAAUGGGAUGUGAUUUUAAAAAUAUGGAUUAUGGGGGGCAGCUGGAUUGCUCAGUGGAUUGAGAGUCAGGCCUAGAGAUGGGAGGUCCUAGGUUCAAAUCUUACCUCAGACACCUCCCAGCUGUGUGACCCUGGGCAAGUCACUUGAUCCCCAUUGCCUAGCCCUUACCGCUCUUCUACUUUGGAGCCAAUACACAGUAUUGACUCCAAGAUGUAAGGUAAGGGUUUUAAAAAAGUAUGGAUUAUGAUAAAUACAAAGAAGGAUGGAGUGAAAGUGAAAUAAGCAUUGCCAAGAAAGCAACAGGCAAAAUGAAUAAAACAAUGUAAAUGAGAAGAAUAACUACAUGACAAUCAAAAAAGAACAUUGCAAAAUUAUAAAGAAUAAGCUUAGUCCCAAAGAAGAGCUAUAAGAAUACACCUGUCCUAACUCCUGUGCAGUUUAUGGAUUCACUGUGGAACAUUGUACAGAUUGCCAAUUAAAAAAAAAAGACACACACA